UACGUAGGGGGCAAGCGUUGUCCGGAAUCAUUGGGCGUAAAGAGCGUGUAGGCGGCCCGAUAAGUCCGCCGUGAAAGUCCAGGGCUCAACCCUGGAAUGCCGGUGGAAACUGUCGGGCUGGAGUCCGGAAGAGGCGAGUGGAAUUCCUGGUGUAGAGGUGAAAUUCGUAGAUAUCAGGAGGAACACCAGUGGCGAAGGCGGCUUCCUGGACACCAACUGACGCUGAGACGCGAAAGCGUGGGGAGCAAACAGG
rnacentral:rRNA from 1 species